UACGUAGGGUGCGAGCGUUGUCCGGAAUUAUUGGGCGUAAAGAGCUCGUAGGCGGUCUGUCGCGUCGGAUGUGAAAGCCCGGGCUUAACUCCGGGUCUGCAUUCGAUACGGGCAGACUAGAGUGUGGUAGGGGAGAUCGGAAUUCCUGGUGUAGCGGUGAAAUGCGCAGAUAUCAGGAGGAACACCGGUGGCGAAGGCGGGUCUCUGGGCCGUAACUGACGCUGAGACACGAAAGCGUGGGUAGCAAACAGG
rnacentral:rRNA from 1 species